rnacentral:tRNA from 1 species
AGGGGUGUAGCUCAGUUGGUAGAGCAGUGGUCUCCAAAACCACGUGUCGCGGGUUCGAUUCCUGCCACCCCUG